rnacentral:rRNA from 1 species
AGACCCGAAACCCGGUGAUCUAGCCAUGGGCAGGUUGAAGGUUGGGUAACACUAACUGGAGGACCGAACCGACUAAUGUUGAAAAAUUAGCGGAUGACCUGUGGCUGGGGGUGAAAGGCCAAUCAAACCGGGAGAUAGCUGGUUCUCCCCGAAAGCUAUUUAGGUAGCGCCUCGUGAAUUCAUCUCCGGGGGUAGAGCACUGUUUCGGCUAGGGGGCCAUCCCGGCUUACCAACCCGAUGCAAACUGCGAAUACCGGAGAAUGUUAUCACGGGAGACACACGGCGGGUGCUAACGUCCGUCGUGAAGAGGGAAACAACCCAGACCGCCAGCUAAGGUCCCAAAGUCAUGGUUAAGUGGGAAACGAUGUGGGAAGGCCCAGACAGCCAGGAUGUUGGCUUAGAAGCAGCCAUCAUUUAAAGAAAGCGUAAUAGCUCACUGGUCGAGUCGGCCUGCGCGGAAGAUGUAACGGGGCUAAACCAUGCACCGAAGCUGCGGCAGCGAACGUAUCACUUAAAGCGAUUCAGCGGGUUACGAUUGACGGAGCGAAGCGACGUCAAAGCGUAUACAAAGUCGAGUCGGUUUAAGGAUACGUUCGUUGGGUAGGGGAGCGUUCUGUAAGCCUGUGAAGGUGUGUCGUGAGGCAUGCUGGAGGUAUCAGAAGUGCGAAUGCUGACAUAAGUAACGAUAAAGCGGGUGAAAAGCCCGCUCGCCGGAAGACC